CUGAAAAACCAGGCAUGGUAGCAAAUGUUUGAAAUCCACUCAGGUGGGAGGAGGUGGGUUAGAAAUUUACAGUCAUCCUUAGGAGCAUGGGGAAUUUGAGACUACCCUGUCUCAACAAAUAAAAUGAAGAAGGAAGAGAAACAGAGGAGAGGAGAGGACAGAGGAGGAGGAAGAGGAAGAAAGGAUGAGAAUUCAAGAUGUGGAAAAUACUACAUUGCAAUUCUACUCUAUGAAGGGCACUGGAGAGGCCGUGGAAAGAUCAAUAAUGCAAAAAAUUCCAAGAGCUAAUAAAGUUACCACAGAGGCGCUCAGGAGCCACUGCCAUCUGGAAGCAAGUCAGCCCCUAAGAACUGGAGAAGACAUAGAAGGUCUCCUACACUAAUCUCCUCAGCAGCACAAUGCUGUAGUGAACACUAAGCAGGCAGGCAAGAGGUCUUGCUUGUGAGUGGAAACUCACUGAGAAGAGAGAAUGUUAGCUAAAUGCUGCUAAUAACCACGGUUUGUCAGGCCCUGAGAGGCGUCAAGCCUUUACAGAUGUUCCCUGUCUUAGCCAUGUCUUUAGAGUUGCGAUUGUUUUCAGCUUCACAGAGGUGCAAAGGCAACAGCACUUAACAGAAACUCAGUUCAAUUUGUGACUUUUGAUACAUACACAGCUCUCCAGCUUCUGGUAGCGAGAGACAGACCCCCUUGAGAUGCUAGGCCGGAGCCAGCUACAGUGUCUAGUCAGCCCUGUAACAUAGGUCAUUGCAUCAGCAAGCAAUGAUGCUCAGUAGAUUGGGUAUAUUAAAUGCAUCUUUAAUUGUAAGCUGAAGAAGUCUCUGCAUUUAAAUGUAAACUUCACUGAAAACUUUCUAUACUGUAUUUAUUCUAUUGGUAAGAAACGGUGGUGUUUAACUAACACCACUGAGUAGUAAAGUCAAUAUAUAUAAGCCACCCACGUCUAACUCCCAAGUCAGUGCUUUUAAUAACAGCCCAACCUUGAGAGUCAGGCAUCCUUUCUGUGCUGUGUGUUUGCUCUUUGGGUGAGAUGCAUAAAGAAAGUGUCGGCACCUGUAAGUCUAUGGGUAGUGCAGCUAGAUGAGAGAAAGGAGGGAGACAGUCCUGCAAUGGCUGGGGAGCUCAGCUGGUGGAGUGCUUGUCUGGUAUUCACAAGGACCUGAGUUCAUCACUGGGCACUGCCCAAACCAGGUGGGGUGACUCGUGCCUUCAAUCACUCAAAAGGUGGAGAGAGGAAGAUCAAGGUCAUCUCCUCCUGUGAUACAUACUGAGUUCAGGCCCAAUCUGAACUAUUGCUCUACCUCUCCCCACCCCAAGAAAGAAAGAUCGUGAAUAAAUCUGACUUUGGACAUGAA